AUUUCCCUGCGGUGUUUGUUAAGGCUAAUACUCUUUGAACCAAUUUAUAUAACAGGUUGCGAACUAAAGUGAUGCUGUUGUGCGCUCCUCACAGAAGGGGCACCUGAUGCAUCCGGUUUGCGACCACCUUGAACCUCAAGGUUCAAGAUGACAGCCUGACGGCAUUGGCGGGGAAACC
rfam:Nitrosomonas communis strain Nm2, complete genome.